rnacentral:ribozyme from 1 species
CCCUUUCAUGUACUGAGCCUCUACGUGGCGAAAGGGAUCAACAGACAGAAACGCCUGGCUAAUCAGUA